AGUGAACGCUGGCGGUAGGCCUAACACAUGCAAGUCGAACAGCAGCACAGUAAGAGCUUGCUCUUACGGGUGGCGAGUGGCGGACGGGUGAGGAAUACAUCGGAAUCUACUUUUUCGUGGGGGAUAACGUAGGGAAACUUACGCUAAUACCGCAUACGACCUACGGGUGAAAGCAGGGGAUCUUCGGACCUUGCGCGAUUGAAUGAGCCGAUGUCGGAUUAGCUAGUUGGCGGGGUAAAGGCCCACCAAGGCGACGAUCCGUAGCUGGUCUGAGAGGAUGAUCAGCCACACUGGAACUGAGACACUGUCCAGACUCCUACGGGAGGCAGCAGUGGGGAAUAUUGGACAAUGGGCGCAAGCCUGAUCCAGCCAUACCGCGUGGGUGAAGAAGGCCUUCGGGUUGUAAAGCCCUUUUGUUGGGAAAGAAAAGCAGCAGGUUAAUACCCCGCUGUUCUGACGGUACCCAAAGAAUAAGCACGGGCUAACUUCGUG
rnacentral:rRNA from 1 species